CCACCUAGUUUUGAGGAUGUACAAAUUGUUGUUGUGCUAUAAAUGUGACUUUACCUGGUUCAGGAUGAUUUUUUCUGAGGCAGGGUUUCGGGUACUUUUAUUUUGAAAGGUGCUGCCAAGCUGAAUGUAGCUUGCAUCGCGGUCGUCCACACAAGUCCGGAGAAAUAUCAUUCCUUCUGGAAACAGUGUCAGUCAUGUUUCGAAUUGCAUUUAAUUAAAUCAACGUUGACACAGUGGGUUGAGUAAAUAUAAUUACAUGUACCUUAUUACGUCUCAGGAGUUUGAAACAGUGUCCCACGAAUAAUCCGUCUGCUUGUGCUGCCAGCUCUGGAGUCGGCAGCGAGUUUCCUGGGACCUGUCGGCCUGUGGAGACUCAGAGCCAGGACCACGGAACAAGAGGGAAAUCAGCUGGCCACUCCCAUGGCCAGACCGUCAGUGUCACCUCCGGAAAUCAACAUCAGGCAAACCGGCAGCAGGGAUUCAGUUCUUCCCAUCCCAUCCUCGAGCUUCUUAAUCUUAAAGAGGUGUUUCUAAAUUUAGAUUAAUUGAGCAUUUCUAAAUGUAUAGAGUUGUCUAUAUUAUAUGUGAUACACAAAAAGCAAUACAUCAUAAUUAUCCCUUUCCCUUUCUUCUUUUGG
rnacentral:lncRNA from 1 species